ensembl:lncRNA
GGGGGGGGGGAAGGUGUUGGGUAAAUAAAUAAGGGGUUGCUGAUGCUAAACAUUAUUCUGCUGAUGUGAAUCUGUUUUUUUUUAAAUAAGUUGCUUCAUCUAAAUUUAUUUCACCUUUGGUUGGGGAACGUCAUAUCUAAGUAAAUUGUUGGUCAAACAGUUUAACCACAGUCCAGAAAAAGCAAGCUAAAACUUGCACUUCAUGGUGAAACAACUGUUAAACCCAACCACGCAUGUGCCAUUAGAGUCAAUUAUUAUCACUGCUUUACCAGACAGCAACUGUCAUGCUAAACUCUACUUUCCACUUAACAUACAUACAGCACAUGCGCACACACACAUGGAAAUAGGAAUAGCGCUCUGUGCUGAGAGGAAAGGCUGCAUAAAUCAGGGGUGCCUUCAUCAUUUUCACGUUGGCACCUUACAUAACUUUAAAGGUAAGCACUUGAACAAGCAGAGCAGUAAUACAGUCUGUACAGUCACAGACUUAUACAUAGCAGCAUACCCCAAGGCUGAGGUGUUGUUACUGAUACCGGUCUGGCUGCAGCUUAUAAAUGGCAAGAGGGGCAGCUCCCAGCAGACUCGCAGAGGACAGUAAAAGGGAAAAAGUGGUGCAGCCCACUGUGAACCAGUGGUUCCAGGGUCUUCAUCACAAAGGCAAAUGUGUUUUUAUAUUUAAAUCAUGGUUAAAACUACACGUACAAAAUAUUUAAUGCAGUAAAUUCUGUAAUGUGUCAUGAAAGCCUCAAAUCUUUCUACAAAUAUAUUCAAGGCGGUAAAAAUACAUGAGUAGAACAAAUGCCCUGUAUAAUUUCUAAUGUUUGUAGCCUGUAUGCACAAUUCAUUUUUGCAUUUAUUUGAUGAAAUUAUGUCUUUUAUUUCGCCAAAAGGGCUACAUAAUCAAUUAGUUCAAUCUAAUCCAUUCCCUUUUAAGUCGAUAAAUCGCCCAAGUUUGCGUUAAAAGAGAGAAACGCGCACUUUUCUUUUCACGGGGUUUCCAGAGGCAGCAGCGGUUCAGCAGAGGCUAACAGUUUCAGUAGCGCUGGUGAAAUCUAACUUACCCGCUCUGAAGGUCAGACAGUACAAAGUAAAGAGUCAAGCUCAGGAGAAAAAAAAAGUGCGUGGCCACUUCUAUAUGUUCUGGCAGCAAGUCCGUCAGAAGCUAUCACAAGCUGAGUUUUAAACCAAGGUUUAAAAGGUUUGACUUUCCCCGUAUUUCCACACACCGACAGCGCGUGUGCAACCGAUGACACUUAGCCAAUUUGUUUUCGUUUUGACGGUCAAGUUGUCACAACUCAGAGCGUCCGCGGUCACCUGUGCCACCGCCAAUGGCAAAGCGCACAACGGCCUUGUGGGAAAUGUAGUUUUUACAUCGCGUAAAGCAGAAGAUGCGCUAUUUUGAGGUAGUGACGUGAUGCCUGUUGACUGCAAAGUUAGUUCCGAGUCCUUCAACAAAAGCACUCAAAGAACUAAACGAAAGGAAAAGGCUAUUAGCUGUUAUGACUGUUUCAUCGUGCAGCCCGUUGACUGAUCAAAUGUCAGUCUUUGUUGCACGCUGCUCAAAAUUAAACACUUUUGAAUGACAUCAUAGCUUCAAGUCAGUUAAACUUCUGGGGUGUUGAUCUGGUUAGUCAGGUAGGACAGGGGGUUGUUAAUCAAGUUCAGCUGCUUUAGCGUUAAUGAAAUUCACAGGUGCACUAAAAAGGCAACUAUGAGAACCCCCCACAACAGUAAUGGUUUUUCCAGGUGGAGGUCACCGCCCCUCCCCCAUCUUUUGCCGUUUCAUUUAAACUAGUUUUGCAUGUGGCUGGGGUCAGUGUCACUGCAGGUAGCAUGAGGUGAUGCAGUGUAUCUAGAAAGUAUUCAAAGCUAUUCACUUGUUCCACAUUUUGUCAUGUUACAACCUUAUUCAAAACACAUUCAAAUUAAUUUUUCACCUCAAAAUUCUCCACAAAAUAACCCAUAAGGGGAAAAAGUAGGCAAGUAUUUACAGCCUUUGCUCAGUUCUUUAUUGGAAGUGCAAUUAAUGCCUCAGGUCUUUUUGAGCAUGAUACUACAAGUGUAGCACACCUGUUUGGGGGCUCUUUUUCUUCUUUGCACUUUGAACUUCUUAAGCUCCAUCAGGUUGGAUGCAAUUUGUUGCUGUACAGCAAUUUUCACUUCUCUCCAGAGAAGUGCAAUCAGGUUCAAGUCUGGGUUCUGGCUGGGCUGCUCAAAGACAUUUACAGAGUUGUCUUGAAGGCACUCCUUUGUCAUCAUGGCUGUGUGCUUAGGGGUUUUGUUCUGCUGCAAGAUGAACGGUCACCCCAGGCCAAAGGUCCUGAGCGCUCUGGAGUAGGAUAUCAUCAGUGAUGUCCGUUUACGUCGCUGCAUUCAUCUUUCCCUUGACCCUGAAUAGCCUCCCAUUUCCUUCUGCCAAAAAGAUCCCCAGCACGAUGUUGCCACCACCAUGAGUCAUUGUAAGGAUGGUAUUGGCCAAGUGAUGGGUGGUACAUGGUUUCCUCCAGACAUGACACUUGGCAUUUAAACCAGAGACUUCAAUCUUGAUUAAGAAAAAGAGGUCUUCAAUAUUUUAAAGCCUUUGUUUCAUCAGUCCUUUUGGUAAACUCCAGGUGUGCUGUCAUAUGCCUUUUACUGAGGGUUAUCUUCCAUCUGACUGCUCUAUUAUACAGGCCUGAUUGGUGGAAUGCUGCAGAAAUGGUUGUCCUUCAAAAAGGGUCUCCUCUCUCCUCAAAGCAAUGCCAGAGCUCUGACAGAGUGAACCUCCCUGACUAAGGUUCUUGUACACAGAUCACUUAAAUUGGCCAGGCUGCCAACUCCAGGAAGAGUCCUACUGGUUCCAAAUUUCAUCCAUUUACAGAUGAUGAAGGCCACUGUGCUCACUGGGACCUUCAAUGCUGUAAAAACACUUCUGUAUUGCAGCCCAGAUCUGUGCCUCGUUACAUCUCCCUGGACUUCAUGGCUUGGUUUGUACUGUGACAUGAUUGGUCAGCUAUGGGACCUUAUAUAAACAGGUACGUGCCUUUCCAAAUCAUGUCCAAUCAACUGAA